AUGCGUAGGGUGCGAGCGUUGUCCGGAAUUACUGGGCGUAAAGAGCUCGUAGGUGGUUUGUCGCGUCGUCUGUGAAAUUCCGGGGCUUAACUCCGGGCGUGCAGGCGAUACGGGCAUAACUUGAGUACUGUAGGGGAGACUGGAAUUCCUGGUGUAGCGGUGAAAUGCGCAGAUAUCAGGAGGAACACCGGUGGCGAAGGCGGGUCUUUGGGCAGUAACGGACGCUGAGGAGCGAAAGAAUGGGUAGCGAACAGGAUUAGAUACCCUGGUAGUCCAUGCCGUAAACGGUGGGCGCUAGGUGUAGGGGUCUUCCACGACUUCUGUGCCGUAGCUAACGCAUUAAGCGCCCCGCCUGGGGAGUACGGUCGCAAGGCUGAAACUCAAAUGAAUUGGCGGGG
rnacentral:rRNA from 1 species